GACGAACGCUGGCGGCGUGCUUAACACAUGCAAGUCGAACGGAAAGGCCCUGCUUUUGUGGGGUGCUCGAGUGGCGAACGGGUGAGUAACACGUGAGUAACCUGCCCUUGACUUUGGGAUAACUUCAGGAAACUGGGGCUAAUACCGGAUAGGAGCUCCUGCUGCAUGGUGGGGGUUGGAAAGUUUCGGCGGUUGGGGAUGGACUCGCGGCUUAUCAGCUUGUUGGUGGGGUAGUGGCUUACCAAGGCUUUGACGGGUAGCCGGCCUGAGAGGGUGACCGGCCACAUUGGGACUGAGAUGCGACCCAGACUCCUACGGGAGGCAGCAGUGGGGAAGAUUGCACAAUGGGCGGAAGCCUGGUGCAGCAACGCCGCGUGCGGGAUGACGGCCUUCGGGUUGUAAACCGCUUUCGCCUGUGACGAAGCGUGAGUGACGGUAAUGGGUAAAGAAGCACCGGCUAACUACGUG
rnacentral:rRNA from 1 species